rnacentral:rRNA from 1 species
UACAGAGGUCCCAAGCGUUGUUCGGAUUCACUGGGCGUAAAGGGUGCGUAGGCGGUCGGGUAAGUCUGAUGUGAAAUCUCACAGCUUAACUGUGAAACUGCAUUGGAUACUAUUCGGCUUGAGAGUUGGAGGGGGGACUGGAAUUCUUGGUGUAGCAGUGAAAUGCGUAGAUAUCGGGAGGAACACCUGUGGCGAAAGCGGCUCACUGGACCGCAACUGACGCUGAGGCGCGAAAGCGUGGGGAGCAAACAGG